AAUUCUGGCUCUCUUCAGAUCAUAUAAAUCUUUUGCCUUUUACUAAAGAGUUCCGUGGAGAGGUAUUAAAGAAAGCUGUCUGUCAAUCCUUCAAAAUAAAUAGCACUGUACAGUGUUU